rnacentral:rRNA from 1 species
GAUCAUGGCUCAGGAUGAACGCUAGCUACAGGCUUAACACAUGCAAGUCGAGGGGCAGCAUGGUCUUAGCUUGCUAAGGCCGAUGGCGACCGGCGCACGCGUGAGUAACGCGUAUCCAACCUGCCUUACACUCUUGGACAGCCUUCUGAAAGGGAAAUUAAUACAAGAUGUUAUCAUGAGUAAGCAUUUUCGCAUGAUUAAAGGUUUACCGGUGUAAGAUGGGGAUGCGUU